UACGAAGGGUGCAAGCGUUACUCGGAAUUACUGGGCGUAAAGCGUGCGUAGGUGGUGGUUUAAGUCUGCUGUGAAAGCCCUGGGCUCAACCUGGGAAUUGCAGUGGAUACUGGAUCACUAGAGUGUGGUAGAGGGAUGCGGAAUUUCUGGUGUAGCAGUGAAAUGCGUAGAGAUCAGAAGGAACAUCCGUGGCGAAGGCGGCAUCCUGGGCCAACACUGACACUGAGGCACGAAAGCGUGGGGAGCAAACAGGAUUAGAUACCCUGGUAGUCCACGCCCUAAACGAUGCGAACUGGAUGUUGGGUGCAACUUGGCACCCAGUAUCGAAGCUAACGCGUUAAGUUCGCCGCCUGGGGAGUACGGUCGCAAGACUGAAACUCAAAGGAAUUGACGGGGGCCCGCACAAGCGGUGGAGUAUGUGGUUUAAUUCGAUGCAACGCGAAGAACCUUACCUGGUCUUGACAUCCACGGAACUUUCCAGAGAUGGAUUGGUGCCUUCGGGAACC
rnacentral:rRNA from 1 species